AUUCUGUUCUAUUCUCAACACCGGAUAUUACUUUGGGUUUAGAAGCAAAGGUUUCUGUCACUUUAGUAAAAGUUUUCUUCAUCUAUAAUCAUGGAAUUUCAUUGUUGUUUUUCGAGUGGUAUUGAAAUUUCACGCGGAAAUAGCUUGCCUUGUGAUGCCGAGUUGCGGGCACUUUUGGGCGGGAUCCCGGAUAUAGAGACGGAUUCUGUCGCCAUUUUACCGUCCCCUCGAGUGUCGCCCGACAUAUUUCACGACAUUCCAGGACUGGCUGUGACGUCAGAAUCAGAGGAUAACUCUGGGGACUCCAUAACUAGUGGUUCAUUGCUACAUCUCCAGAAAGGUCAACAGUUCCUGGCCGUUCCAAGAAAGGUUAGUUGUGAACAACCAAUCAAAAGCAGUUGUACCAAAUCAUCCGGCGCAAUGCUCGUUUUCAGCCAAUUGCGCUCCACGUUAAAUUUUUACACGUGAUGAAAGUCUAAAUACUGAUUUCUAUGUACAAUGUCACGCGUGCGUUUUGACAUUUGCAGGUACAUGUUUUUUUUUUAUAAUUAGAAAAAAAUUAACAGUUUUAACCAACAAAAUAAACAUCAAAAGCACUUAAAAUAUAGUUUUGCAUUCAUCCAUAGAAAAGUUUAGACACAACCCUUGCUACUGCGUAUUGUUUUGAAUUCCUGUAUUACAAGUUUAUAAAUCUACAGUUACACCUGCUUAGUACUAUUAUACAGAUGUAUAAAAACAUGGAUUUAACUUUCAUUUUUACGAAAACUGUUUAAUUUACUUUUAUAUGUGUAUUAAUUUUAAAAUUGAGGAACGUAAAAAAUUAUAGCUUCGUUACUAUCGAGUUUUUGUCAUACAUGAAUUCCUUACAAGCAUUUCAUACAUGUACCAGAAAGAUUAGCCAUUCUUAUAUCAUGGAGGUUAAAUAGUCAAAAACACCCCCAUUAGAAUUACAGUUACUAAACUAUUAGAUAUGUUUGUUUAAACCAUAAACUAUUUGUUAUUACUAUAAGAACAAUUCCAAGUAGCUUAAUUUCAAAUUUUGUAUACAGUAUUUAUAAAAAGCCCUCCUUCUUAAGGAGAUUGACAUGGUCUAAAAUAAUAAUGGCCACGUUCAUCCGACGCUCUUUAAUAUUUACGCAUUUUUCAGAGUUAUAAAUCAUUUUUUUUAAACCUACAUGCAACUGAAAUGCCAAUUAAUUAUCCGACGCAGGUUUCGUGAAAAGUCAUCCAUUUCCAGCUGUUAAAAAAUGUUCAUGGCGAAGGUUAUGUAAUCAAAAUAUCGUGACAGUCAAUCCUCAGGAUAAUAUAACUCGUGACAAUGGGAUACACUCUGAUUCUGUCAUUUUGACGUUUAUCUUCAUCCGUUUUGCUAGCAUUAUUUGAUAAGAUUUUCUUGCUAUUUUGUUAAAACGUGACAUUUUCCUUCUUUUAUUUUGAUUAAAAUAUUUUUGUAUUCAGUUUGUUUACUUUUUUGUAACAUUCUUUUUUUAAUGAGCAAAAGAAUCAACAUACAUGUAGAUCUAUUGUCAAAUCUGGUCUUAAAACAAAAUAUUCCAAAUUAAUAAUUAAAGAAAGAAAGAAAGAUGAAAGAAAGAAAAUGAUCACAGUGAUAUGUAAUUUUUGGCGACGUCACUGUGGUAAAUACAGUUUAUAAUAUAUAUGCAGAAUCUUUUGCCGACAAACUGUUUCUAUACAGCACACAGCUGGAUAUUGAUCAAGCCGUGCAAGUCAUGAAAUAUGAGGACAUUGCAUGAACCAUAUACCGUUUUAGAUAAAUCAAUUUUAGUGUGCACUUGUUACUAAUAAACCCUUUUUACAAUAAAUAGUCCCUAGUGAGUAACGCCUAAGUGUUUUGUAGUUGCAUCGCGGUCGCAGACGACAUGCCUCGGCCAGUGCUAGCUGUUCUGAGGAGAGUGAUAAUGAACCCUCGCCGCCGAUCUCGCGAAGAGGUCGAAGGUCAGCCAUCGUUGACACCAAGAACGUAGGUGAUGUUUCCCCGACAAACCUGUCCCCCGACGGUUCCCCGGCUACAUCAUGUGACGAGGGCGAAACUCGGAGAAACGGUCGAGUUCGGCGCCAUCGCUCCUCGCUAGAGGCGGACUCGUACAAACAUCCGGGUGACUUUCUGGCUUCGGACCAUCACCGGAAGUUGCUGAAAAGAAAUACCAUUGCGGAGUUUUCUCUUAAUCGUAGUUCUAUGCAGGGGAACUCCAAUGAAGAGUCUAAAAAGGGGCGACAAUCGUCUUUUUCUCUUCUUAAACUUAUGCGUUCCCGAAGUAAAGAGGCUAUUGCAAAACUAGAGGACGUGUUAGCCAAUAUGAAGCCGAGCGAGUUCAAGGACAAUCAUCUACUGGCUUACAAGAACCUCCAUUGGUCGGAACUGAUUGCGAGUUCCGAUAAACACAACGAGAAAACCAGCGAACAACUCCAACUCUCGGAAGUGGAGCGGAAGCGCCGCGAGGCAGUAUGGGAAUUAUUCCAAAGCGAGUGUGUGUUUCUGGUGAAUCAUCUGAUGGUACUCAAACACUGCUUCAUGGAACCUUUGAAAAAGUGCCAAGUAGAGGGACAUUUAAUGUACGCCGAGCCCGAGGAUUUGUUCGGCAACCUCGAUGAAUUGUGUUACGUGAGCUACACAUUCUGUAAGGACUUUAUAGCUACAUUGGUGAAGGCAAUGAGUUCCACAGAGUUCGGCAGCACAACGGUGUUAUUGAAGGCGUUCGACAGGUUUUCUUCACAUUCCAAAGAUGGCGAUGUGUAUCACACGUAUUGCCUAAAUUACACAAACGCUCUGACUUAUUUGGAGCGGCUGCGCAGAAACGACGACUUCAAUGAGUUUGAAAAAGCUUGCUGUCAAGACCCUCGCUGUCAGAGAUUAAAACUCACCGAUCUGCUGGUGGCGCCAUUACAGCACUGCACAAAACUACCUCUGUUGCUAAGCAAUAUCCGGAAGUACACAGAAGUCGAGGAUGAGGUACAGAAAUUAACAGAAUCCAUAGCCAGAGUGGAAAUGUCUCUACAAAAAAUGGAAGACAAAAUGAAAUGGGCAAAGAAUUACGAGAGAGUACAGGAAAUCGCGCGGCAACUGUCAUGGCCACCGGUGACCGAUCUCGACCCCAGGGUAUUCAUUCCAGAGUACUUGAAGUCAACGCUAAUAAAGCAGCCGUGUGACCGCCUCCUAGCGGCAUGCGCCGAUCGACAGCUUCUUCAUGAAGGGCAGCUAACUCUUAUAGAAUCCACAAAGAUGAUUGACAUAUACCUGUUUCUGUUUGAUGACAUCUUGUUAAUAACCCGGAUGAAAAAGUCCGCUAAAAAAAAGCAGCAGAACUCUGGGGGUGACUCCAAGACCCCCCUACAGGGAGACAAGUAUCUUUACACCGUGUAUAAACAGCCCAUAUCACUGGACCGGAUCUGUCUGCACGACGUGCCGCCCACCGAGACCGCCGCUAAUGGGAUCAAGUCAGCGUUUGUUUUAGUACAGAUCAGCCGGUAUCAACAAAUUAUUGGUGUCUUCACGCUUCAAUGCUCAAAUGACGCAACAAAGCUAAAGUGGAUGGAUAAACUCCGAGAAGCUAAGGAUGGACUAGACAGUGUUGUGUCUAAGAGAAGGACGAGUGACUCCGAAAAUCAAACAAAACAUUGACUAGUGUCACUCAACGCCGAUAUUUAUGAUACUUUUUUAAAUUGUUUAUUGAUUAAUAAUAUGAGAGGAGUAUUUUUCCUGUUUGUGUUUGUUAUAUGGAAAUAAAUGGCUUUACUUUU
rnacentral:misc_RNA from 1 species